AACGAACGCUGGCGGCAGGCCUAACACAUGCAAGUCGAACGGGAUCUUCGGAUCUAGUGGCGGACGGGUGAGUAACGCGUGGGAACGUGCCCUUUGGUUCGGAAUAGCCCUGGGAAACUGGGAGUAAUACCGGAUGUGGUCGAGAGACGAAAGAUUUAUCGCCAAAGGAUCGGCCCGCGUUGGAUUAGGUAGUUGGUGGGGUAAUGGCCUACCAAGCCGACGAUCUAUAGCUGGUUUGAGAGGAUGAUCAGCCACACUGGGACUGAGACACGGCCCAGACUCCUACGGGAGGCAGCAGUGGGGAAUCUUAGACAAUGGGAGAAACCCUGAUCUAGCCAUGCCGCGUGAGCGAUGAAGGCCUUAGGGUUGUAAAGCUCUUUCGUGGGGGAAGAUAAUGACUGUACCCCAAGAAGAAGCCCCGGCUAACUCCGUGCCAGCCGCCGCGGUAACAC
rnacentral:rRNA from 1 species